rnacentral:rRNA from 1 species
GACGAACGCUGGCGGCGUGCCUAAUACAUGCAAGUAGAACGCUGAAGGAGGAGCUUGCUUCUCUGGAUGAGUUGCGAACGGGUGAGUAACGCGUAGGUAACCUGCCUGGUAGCGGGGGAUAACUAUUGGAAACGAUAGCUAAUACCGCAUAAUAGUAGAUGUUGCAUGACAUUUACUUGAAAGGUGCAAUUGCAUCACUACCAGAUGGACCUGCGUUGUAUUAGCUAGUUGGUGGGGUAACGGCUCACCAAGGCGACGAUACAUAGCCGACCUGAGAGGGUGAUCGGCCACACUGGGACUGAGACACGGCCCAGACUCCUACGGGAGGCAGCAGUAGGGAAUCUUCGGCAAUGGACGGAAGUCUGACCGAGCAACGCCGCGUGAGUGAAGAAGGUUUUCGGAUCGUAAAGCUCUGUUGUAAGAGAAGAACGAGUGUGAGAGUGGAAAGUUCACACUGUGACG